ACUCCUACGGGAGGCAGCAGUAGGGAAUCUUCCACAAUGGGCGCAAGCCUGAUGGAGCAACACCGCGUGAGUGAAGAAGGGCUUCGGCUCGUAAAGCUCUGUUGUUAAAGAAGAACACGUAUGAGAGUAACUGUUCAUACGUUGACGGUAUUUAACCAGAAAGUCACGGCUAACUACGUGCCAGCAGCCGCGGUAAUACGUAGGUGGCAAGCGUUAUCCGGAUUUAUUGGGGCGUAAAGAGAGUGCAGGCGGUUUUCCAAGUCUGAUGUGAAAGCCUUCGGCUUAACCGGAGAAGUGCAUCGGAAACUGGAUAACUUGAGUGCAGAAGAGGGUAGUGGAACUCCAUGUGUAGCGGUGGAAUGCGUAGAUAUAUGGAAGAACACCAGUGGCGAAGGCGGCUACCUGGUCUGCAACUGACGCUGAGACUCGAAAGCAUGGGUAGCGAACAGGAUUAGAUACCCU
rnacentral:rRNA from 1 species